GGUGUGAGUCAACCGUACCUCUCACGGGCCGCCUCUCACGGACCAGGCCAGGCCACACGCACAGAACUAGGCGCACAGUCUCAGCACAUCGGGGCAUGCAUGUCUGGACGCGACGCACACAAGGACCGAAAACAACAAAAAAUCUACACAGACCUUCACUCAAGCUCUGUGGCGGCACAGUUACUACUCGGAGAUCAACUGGUCUUUCCUAUGUCUCAAUGCAGAAGCCGGUUUGAAGAUCUGAACACUUACUGACUGUUUGGAAGUCUUCAGAAGUCUUCCCACUGUCGUUCAGAGACACCUGAUCAUCAUCAAAUACUGGGGGGGCAGACAGGAGAGGUACCUAGAGCCACGGGGCCAACAGGAAGGGUGGUCCAGGCCUCGGGAUGGACAAGAGGGAUAGCCAGAUCCUUGAGACUAACAGGAGGGGCCAACGGAGCAGCGGGUCCGACAGUAGCCUGGAGGGGCAAAUAGAGUGACGGGUCUGAUAAGAGGGCCUAUCGGAGCCGUGGGCCAACAGGGGGGGCAGACAGGAGAGGUACCUAGAGCCACGGGGUCAACAGGAAGGGUGGUCCAGGCCUCGGGAUGGACAAGAGGGAUAGCCAGAUCCUUGAGACCAACAGGAGGGGCCAACGGAGCAGCGGGUCCGACAGUAGCCUGGAGGGGCAAAUAGAGUGACGGGUCUGAUAAGAGGGCCUACCGGAGCCGUGGGCCAUCAGCGGGGGCAGACAGGAGAGGUACCUAGAGCCACGGGGCCAACAGGAAGGGUGGUCCAGGCCUCGGGAUGGACAAGAGGGAUAGCCAGAUCCUUGAGACCAACAGGAGGGGUUAACGAGCAGCGGGUUUGACAGGAGGGCCUACCGGAGCCAAAUGGAUCCAUGGGGUGACAGCUUGGGCCAGGACCAACAGUAUAGGUGGAAACUGUAUUAUGUGUUACAGAUAAAUGCCAGUGCAGCUAGCAGACAAGAUAUGUACAAGACAUAGUGUUAAACCAUGAGGACCUGAUGCUUGUGAUAUAGCAUUAAGUGAUGCAUAUAACACUACAUGUAUAUGAAUGGUAUUCAUAGUGAGCACAUGUGCGUUUCGUGUAUGUUGAAGUCUUGAGGUAGUGACUCACUGUUGAUGAGGUACAUAUCUACCAAAGAAAUCCUGUCCUACAGGUAUGGUAUGUACUGGUGAGCAGGUCAUAGUAGGCAUGCAUACAAUGUACAGAAGAAAUGUAUCACCAAAGUUGCUUUAUAUGUUACUGACAAAAACUACUUGCUAGAUAUCAGCAGAUGUAAAAAGAGAGGGGGAUUGAGAGUGAUAAAGGGAUAUGUUGGUCCUUGUUUAAUGUUAUUGGGGAAAAGUAAGAGGGUGCUACCUGAAACAUCUGACUGUUUCCAAAAUCUGUACUUGUAUUUGUAACAAUUGUAUAUGUAAUUUACCAAUGACAUAUCAAGACUGUUUUCAGUUCUGUAUUGCUAGAUUAUCGAGAUUCUGUCAGCUUAUCAGAACACUAUCAUUGUUAUAGUUUCUUUUCAAAAUUUCACUGAAGUUUCAUAUGCAAACUGUGUCUUUAUGAAUGGUAGCAAAUGCUUUUUUGUGGUAAUGUCAGAUAGCAAGAUAUGUACACGUUCAAAUAGAAGUGUAAAACCUAGAAACAUUUUGUAAAAGAAGAUUUUGUGAUUGAUACAGGUAUAACGUUAGCACAGAAAACAAUGCUUUUAGCUUGAGUUACGUACAUGUAGUAUGUAUGUAUGCCAUGUACAGAUGAGGUGUACCACUUUCAUAUUGUGCGACUGUCCAAAACUGUUGCAUUUUUAGUGGAUUUUUAUCUCUGAGACAUGAAGGAAGAAAGAGAAGUGUUAGUGUAGCAAUGCAGUUUGUUUUUGCAUUAUGUAUGUAAUUUCCUUUGUUUCAAGUAAAUAAUCAAUUCUAUUUUGCACAAAUAAACAAUGAUUGUAUUAUU